rnacentral:rRNA from 1 species
AGUGAACGCUGGCGGUAGGCCUAACACAUGCAAGUCGAACGGCAGCACAGUAAGAGCUUGCUCUUACGGGUGGCGAGUGGCGGACGGGUGAGGAAUACAUCGGAAUCUACUUUUUCGUGGGGGAUAACGUAGGGAAACUUACGCUAAUACCGCAUACGACCUCCGGGUGAAAGCAGGGGAUCUUCGGACCUUGCGCGAUUGAUUGAGCCGAUGUCGGAUUAGCUAGUUGGCGGGGUAAAGGCCCACCAAGGCGACGAUCCGUAGCUGGUCUGAGAGGAUGAUCAGCCACACUGGAACUGAGACACGGUCCAGACUCCUACGGGAGGCAGCAGUGGGGAAUAUUGGACAAUGGGCGCAAGCCUGAUCCAGCCAUACCGCGUGGGUGAAGAAGGCCUUCGGGUUGUAAAGCCCUUUUGUUGGGAAAGAAAAGCAGCAGGUUAAUACCCCGCUGUUCUGACGGUACCCAAAGAAUAAGCACCGGCUAACUUCGUG